rnacentral:rRNA from 1 species
GAUCAUGGCUCAGGAUGAACGCUAGCGGCAGGCUUAACACAUGCAAGUCGAGGGGUAGGUUACUUCGGUAAUUGAGACCGGCGCACGGGUGCGUAACGCUAGGUACAAUCUACCUUUACAGAGGGAUAGCCCAGAGAAAUUUGGAUUAAUACCUCAUAGUAUAGCAGUUUCGCAUGAAACCACUAUUAAAGUCACAACGGUGAAAGAUGAGCAUGCGUCCCAUUAGCUAGUUGGUAAGGUAACGGCUUACCAAGGCAACGAUGGGUAGGGGUCCUGAGAGGGAGAUCCCCCACACUGGUACUGAGACACGGACCAGACUCCUACGGGAGGCAGCAGUGAGGAAUAUUGGACAAUGGGCGCAAGCCUGAUCCAGCCAUGCCGCGUGCAGGAUGACGGUCCUAUGGAUUGUAAACUGCUUUAUACAGGAAGAAACACUACUUCGUGAAGUAGCUUGACGGUACUGUAAGAAUAAGGAUCGGCUAACUCCGUG